UUUCUUAGGGGAAAAUAUUACUGCUUCACUGUCAGCAAACAGAAGAGGACAACACCGGUGGUGAUGGACCCGGAGAGCUGAGCAGGCGACUGAAGAUGAACAGGUGGAGUGCAUCAGUUUUCGGGUGAUUGUGAACGAGAGGGUGGAGCUGAAAGAUCUGGCUCUGCUGUUGACUCCGUGACAUUUACUAUUUAUUCAUAUGUGAAAAACUUUUGUCUGCCAAAUUAAAGUCAAGGUCAAUAUAUUAAAUAAGGUUGGUUCAGGUUGUAAAAUGUCAAAUGUCAUG